GCAGAGACGCCAGGCUCCGCUCUCCCAGGCAGCUCCGACCCAGGAUGGACGUAGGCUAGAAUCUUCCUGGCUUCUAUGGGUAUAAUCAAAAACUGCAAGUAAGCAUCCUCAUUUAAAUCUUUCAUCACUGGGCUUGAUAUACAGUCACCUGACGUGAGAUGAAACCCUGAAGGGAAGAACUGAGUGGGAAGAUUAUGCACAUCCCACUCAAAACUCCACGGCCCUGCUCCAUCUACUGAGACAGCCAGUUUGCCCUGGAGGCUGAUGUGCGCGAAUUCCCAUCCCCCAACAUCCAACACACGCGUGUUAGCAUUUCAGUUCCAGGGGUCUCUUUCAGCCAAUGAAAAUACUUAGCAGAACCUGGUUUUUAUAAAGACAGUGUCUGUAAUUGACAAGCCUGAAUUCAUCAAGGACAUGGCUGGAUGAUAAUUAAAUUAUUCUAUCAGACCUAGAAAGACUGUGAUGAGUAUACCAUUUUUUCUACUGUUCUUUGGUUUUUCAUUGGAGUUUCUACAUUAUGGAAUCUUCUCCUUGUUUGCAAUUUCACUGCUGCUGGCCCUGCUUACAAUCAGAAUGGUCAAGUUACAAUACACUCUUUAUCUCGGGAAGCAUGUACAAACCUACUUCAUUCAAGUUCUGCCCUAAACCUUGACCUCCAGAGCACACCUCACCAUUCCGUAUGCUGACAUUGAAGAUUCUUUGGUGGACUUUCUAUUUUAAUCAGUACACUUGUAGACGCAUGGAUGUACAUACUUUAUUCCACAUGGUUUUAUCCUGACACACAUAUCUACCAAUUCCCACUCAUUACAUUUGUGAAUCUACUGAGAUAAAGCUAUGACAUCCUGGGCAUAAUUUUAAGUCUUGCUACGUUCUCAGUAAGACCAUUAUGUUCUCUUGGCAUUAUGAACCAGAGGUCUUUAAAAGAGUAUGUUUAAUGAAUGUAGUUUCUUCCCAUCUCUGUCAGCCUCUGAAAAUCGGAUUCCCAUGACAACUGACUCCCAUAGGGUCCCUGAUGCUGCUCAGGUCUCACUGGGACGAACACUCAGCUGAGAUCCACUGCAGGGCUACAAGCUUCAUCUGUGGCUGCUCACCUGAUCCAUGUGCAUGUACAGAAGGAAAAACACUUGUAAACAGACCAGCACCUUCCACAAUCUUUUCUGUCUUUACUUUUUAAAAACUGACAAGAUUUUCUGUUGUUUUUACCCACUGUCUCAAGAGGAUGAUUCAAUAUUUUGUUGACCACAAAACCAUUGCUAAAUUUAAUGUUUUGAAGUCCAAUGGAGAAUACAUAAAUUUAUAAUGUAUAGUUCAACUGAAUUUUCAAUGGCACCAUCCCACUGUACCAGCACUUACAUAAAGACAAAUGAUAUUUGUAUCACUCCAGGAAGCUGUCAUCAGGUUCUCUUCCAUGCAAAAUCACCAGCACCAGUACAAAGAAGAACUCUACCUAGACGAAGACCACAGAUACUUUUAUGGAAGGCCAGCUGGCCUGGAUCUGAAAAAGCCUGGGUCAAAACUGGACUCGCUGAACAUAGCGGACAAGGAGGACUACUGAGAACUCAAGAACAAUGGCAAUGGGUUUUUGAUCCUAAUGCACGUACUGGCUUUGUGGGAGCCUAGGCAGUUUGGAUGCUCACCUUACUAGACCUGGAUGGAGGGAUCAGUAAAAACACCCUGAGCAGACUGCCGCAUCCACGAGGCUAAAGCGGUUAUGCUGAAGGAACAUAGAAGAGUGGGAAGUGCGGCUCUUUACAAAUGAAGACGAGAAAAGCAGCCUUGUUCCUGCCCAGCAGAGUGCAGCUCCACCCUUCCAAUGAUGCUACCCCAGAGGAGGCAGAAGAGCCACCCUCUUUCAAACCGCAUCCCUGCUGCUAAGCCUCUCCAUUACCCUGUAUGAAGUGGAAUGCCACACAAAUCUACUGGGGCUCGGGGUGGGGGGAUAUAGUAAGAUUAGGAAAUGUUAGCGUUUUAGAUUUUUUGUGAUUUACGUAAAUUCACGUGAAUAGCAUCGAGCACUUGAGUGAGGUAUUCCUGAGACGUGGAACACUGCACAAGUCGGGUGAAGUGGAGCACUGACAAAGAGAGGUUUACAGUCGUCUAGUACCAAACAGAAUCACUUCCUAAAGACAUCUGAAACAUUGCCAAUGAGGUCAAGAGUCUAAAUUUUAUUCUGAGCUAUGUUAAACAGCAAUGCAGCUUUGUAAGGGAGGCUAUCAAUUGCAUAAUAGACCAUGAAAAGCAUACUGUUUGUAUUUCUAUAUUGUUUAUAAUUUAUUACAUAUAAUUUAAGAGCUCCAAGUAUCAACAGAAUUUGUUAGACAUAAUUAAAUUUAAAAGAGAAUUACCAAAAUGUAGCUCCACCACAGUCCCCAGUCAUGCCCCCAGCACUGAAUUCAGGGCACGUCAGAGGACAAACCCAGCAGAUCUUCACCUCCUGGAGACUCGUAAGUCUAAGUUACAAGUAUCGAGGAUUACUGAAGUCAGAGGAGAAGUACAGUUCCAAAUUCACCUCAGUGUGUGAGCCCCACAGAGCACGCAGGUUCAGGGCCACACCCUUCAGCUCCACUGUGCUCUCAGAUAAACACAACUGUCUCCACUAGAGCACAUAAGGCUGUGGAAGCCACAGACACACUUAUUUCCUCUUUAUUGUUUAUACAACACAGUGAAGUGUAGCUGACACAAAUAUCUAUGAGACAGAAUUUUAAACAAACAAAAUUCAAUUACAAGCAAAGUACUGACUUUGAAAUCUAAUUCAAUUAAAAUAAACUUUACAUGCUUCAGGACUGAAAAAUGUAUUAAACAACUCCCACCUCUAAAAAACAGAAAGUGAAGUAAAUACAAUGGGUGUCUAUCUGUCUUUGAAGGAAAAUGUCAAAACUCUGGAUUUAGUAAAACAACAUGCUAGCUCCUCUAAGAGCGGAGUCCUCCCUCGCAGUUACGGUGAGCAGAGGAGGGAGCAUCUGCUUCACAUAUGCUGCUGAUAAAAAGGAAAACACCACUCUGCUUCCUGAGCUCCUACCUAGCUAAUAAAACAAGUCAGAUGAGAAGAAAUGUUAAGGUUAUUUACAUACAAUUAAUCCAACAGGUGAGAGAAAAGAUUAUGCUUUUAAUAAAAAAGCAAAUAAAUGCAAAUAUAUCCUGUUACAUAGGAUAAUGUCAAUUAAAAACAGAGAAAGUAGAAACAUCUAUUUUAAGAAAUAAAAUUUGUAUAGUAACUUA